rnacentral:rRNA from 1 species
GACGAACGCUGGCGGCGUGCUUAACACAUGCAAGUCGAACGGAAAGGCCCUGCUUUUGUGGGGUGCUCGAGUGGCGAACGGGUGAGUAACACGUGAGUAACCUGCCCUUGACUUUGGGAUAACUUCAGGAAACUGGGGCUAAUACCGGAUAGGAGCUCCUGCUGCAUGGUGGGGGUUGGAAAGUUUCGGCGGUUGGGGAUGGACUCGCGGCUUAUCAGCUUGUUGGUGGGGUAGUGGCUUACCAAGGCUUUGACGGGUAGCCGGCCUGAGAGGGUGACCGGCGACAUUGGGCCUGAGAUACGGACCAGACGCCUACGGGAGGCAGCAGUGGGGAAUAUUGCACAAUGGGCGGGAGCCUGAUGCGGCAACGCCGCGUGCGGGAUGACGGCCUUCGGGUUGUAAACCGCUGUCGCCUGUGACGAAGCGUGAGUGACGGUAAUGGGUAAAGAAGCACCGGCUAACUACGUG